GGGACAUAAUGUCUUGAAAGUGUGCUUCCAGCUUCAGCUUCCAGCUGCCAAGCAAGUCUUUGUGUAUGGGUGUUAACAGGUUUGUCUGUCCAGCAACAACUUUCAGAUGUGAGUUUGAGAGUAAAAUCUGCCACAACAGUAGCUAAAGAUAUCUACAGUUGUGGCAAGACUUUCACAGAUCCAUCGGGGUCAUUUUCUCCUCCAUAUUACAAUGGUGGUGGAGAUGUCGUAGAGUGUCUCUGGACAAUCGCUUCCUAUUAUAAGAUUCCUAUAGUGCUAACCCUUGAUUAUUUCAGUUUGGACUGUACUCGUGAAUACAUUCAGAUCUAUGAUGGACUGGUACAUCAUUCAGCACUACUUGGGCAAAUAUGCGAUGGCUCACGUCAGGUAUUCGUUUCACGUUCAGGCAUCAUGAAAGUUGUACUCCACAGAGGGUCCUAUCGUGCAGGCUCUGGCUUUUUUGCCUAUUACGAUAUAACAGGUAAGCCUGGAACUC